rnacentral:rRNA from 1 species
CAGCAGCCACGGUAAUACAGAGGGUGCGAGCGUUAAUCGGAUUUACUGGGCGUAAAGCGUGCGUAGGCGGCUAAUUGAGUCGGAUGUGAAAUCCCCGAGCUUAACUUGGGAAUUGCAUUCGAUACUGGUUAGCUAGAGUGUGGGAGAGGAUGGUAGAAUUCCAGGUGUAGCGGUGAAAUGCGUAGAGAUCUGGAGGAAUACCGAUGGCGAAGGCAGCCAUCUGGCCUAACACUGACGCUGAGGUACGAAAGCAUGGGGAGCAAACAGGAUUAGAGACCCCUGUAGUCCCUGUCUCUUAUAC